rnacentral:rRNA from 1 species
CACGUAGUUAGCCGGGGCUUCUUAGUCAGGUACCGUCAUUAUCUUCCCUGCUGAUAGAGCUUUACAUACCGAAAAUACUUCUUCACUCACGCGGCGUCGCUGCAUCAGGGUUUCCCCCAUUGUGCAAUAUUCCCCACUGCUGCCUCCCGUAGGAGUCUGGGCCGUGUCUCAGUCCCAAUGUGGCCGUUCACUCUCUCAAGCCGGCUACUGAUCGUCGCCUUGGUAGGCCCGUUACCCUGCCAACUAGCUAAUCAGACGCGGGUCCAUCUCACAGCGAUAAAUCUUUGAAGGUAACCUUCAUGCGGAGAUCCCUUGUUAUGCGGUAUUAGCAGGUCCGUUUCCGGCUGUUCGUCCCCUCUGUGAGGCACGGUUACCCACGCGUUACUCACCCGUCCCGCCACUCAGUCAUUACCACUCUUCCCUACCGUAAAACGUUCCCGUACGGUACGCGUCUUCGUUCGACUUGCAUGUUGUUAAGCACGCC